rnacentral:rRNA from 1 species
AUACGGAGGGUGCAAACGUUAAUCGGAAUUACUGGGCGUAAAGCGCUCGUAGGCGGCUUGUUAAGUCGGAUGUGAAAUCCCCGGGCUCAACCUGGGAACUGCAUUCGAUACUGGCAAGCUAGAGUAUAGUAGAGGCAAGUGGAAUUCCGGGUGUAGCGGUGAAAUGCGUAGAUAUCCGGAGGAACAUCAGUGGCGAAGGCGACUUGCUGGACUAAUACUGACGCUGAGGAGCGAAAGCGUGGGGAGCAAACGGGAUUAGAAACCCCAGUAGUCC